UACGGAGGGUGCAAGCGUUGUUCGGAAUCAUUGGGCGUAAAGCGCGCGCAGGCGGCUUGCCAAGUCUGAUGUGAAAUCCCGGGGCUCAACCUCGGACGUGCAUUGGAAACUGGUGAGCUUGAGUCCGAGAGGGGCCAGUGGAAUUCUUGGUGUAGGGGUGAAAUCCGUAGAGAUCAGGAGGAACACCGGUGGCGAAGGCGACUGGCUGGAUCGGCACUGACGCUGAGGCGCGAAAGCGUGGGGAGCAAACAGG
rnacentral:misc_RNA from 1 species